AAGCGGAGGAAAAGAAACUAACAAGGAUUCCCCUAGUAACUGCGAGUGAAGCGGGAAAAGCUCAAAUUUAAAAUCUGGUGGCUUUUCUGCCAUCCGAGUUGUAAUUUAGAGAAGCGUCUAUCCGCGCUGGACCGUGCAUAAGUCUCCUGGAAUGGAGCGUCAUAGAGGGUGAGAAUCCCGUCUUUGGCACGGACCCCCAGGGCUUCUGUGAUGCGCUCUCGAAGAGUCGAGUUGUUUGGGAAUGCAGCUCAAAAUGGGUGGUGAACUCCAUCUAAAGCUAAAUAUUGGCGAGAGACCGAUAGCGAACAAGUACCGUGAGGGAAAGAUGAAAAGCACUUUGGAAAGAGAGUGAAACAGUACGUGAAAUUGUUGAAAGGGAAACGCUUGAAGUCAGUCGCGUCGAUCGAGACUCAGCCUUGCCUCGGCUUGGCGUACUUCUCGGCUUGACGGGUCAGCAUCGAUUUUGACCCUCGGAUAAUGAUGGGGGAAAUGUGACACCUUUAUGGUGUGUUAUAGUCCUCUGUUGUAUGCGCGGGUUGGGAUCGAGGAACUCAGCACGCACCUCUCGGUGUCGGGGCCUCGGCCCACGUUCACGUGCUUAGGAUGCUGGCGUAAUGGCUUUAAACGACCCGUCUUGA
rnacentral:rRNA from 1 species